UGGGCGGGGUCGGCCUGCCGGGGGCGGCCUGCGGGCGCCUUUCGCUGGAGCCGUUUGGGUUCCCGGCAUCCCCCGCGGCGGGGUCGCGCAGAGCCGGAAGCGAGCGCAGCGCCCGGCUGGCCAGGCUGAGCCACCUCAUUCAUCCGCAGCAUGGCGGCGCCGGGCGGCAGCGUCCUGUGCCUCUUCGAUGUGGACGGGACCCUGACCGCCCCCAGGCAGAAAAUCACAGCAGAAAUGGCAGAUUUUCUGCAGAAGCUGCGGAAGAAGGUGAGAGUUGGAGUUGUAGGUGGUUCAGACUUUGACAAAGUUCAAGAGCAGCUGGGAGACGAUGUGGUUGAAAAAUUUGACUACGUCUUUCCAGAAAAUGGUCUUGUAGCAUACAAAGAUGGGAAAUUUUUGUGCAAGCAGAGCAUUCAAAGUCACAUGGGUGAGGACCUGCUCCAAGAUCUAAUCAACUAUUGUCUGAGUUACAUUGCAAAGAUUAAACUGCCAAAGAAAAGGGGUACUUUUAUUGAGUUCCGAAAUGGGAUGCUGAAUGUCUCCCCUGUUGGGAGAAGCUGCAGCCAGGAAGAGCGAAUUGAGUUCUAUGAACUUGAUAAAAGGGAACAUAUAAGAGAGAAAUUUGUAGCUGAUUUACAAAGAGAAUUUGCAGGAAAAGGCCUCACAUUUUCUAUAGGGGGGCAGAUAAGCUUUGAUGUAUUCCCAAAUGGCUGGGAUAAGACAUACUGCUUAGGAAUUGCCUGCAACGAUGGAUACAAGACUGUCUAUUUCUUUGGAGAUAAGACCAUGCCAUAAAUGCGGACCUGUUAGCACACAUCUGACCAACAAAACUCUGCAGUGUUAGACCUGGCCUAAAGGGUGGAAAUGAUUAUGAAAUCUACACAGACUCCCGAACAGUAGGCCACAGUGUCACAUCACCAGAGGACACAAGAAGAAUCUGUGAAGAGCUCUUUUUUAAAUAAAUGACUGUUCCCCUUUAGAUCUGACAGCAGCCAAACACUCUGUUCAGCUAAAGUCAAGAAGAAAUACCAAUCCCUUCAAACAGGAAAUAUUUCACUUCUUUCCAGUGGUGUUUUUUCUUAAUGGUUCACAAACAGCAAAUGUACUGUUAAUCAUACAUCACUAGUGAGAAUUCAAUGUUGAUUUGUCAAGUAUAGCAAAAUUUGUUUAGGAACAACUCUUUUGUAUGCCUGUAGACACAAGUUUAAUUCAGUUAUGUACUGAAGUCUUUUUAAAAAUGAAUUAUCUAACUAGGAUAUUCAGCUGUUUUUUCUCUGAAGUGGUACAUUGGGGAACAUAAUUGAAAACUUCUACAACUAGACAUUUUUGGCUCAAAUUAACACUACCUGAUUUAACUCCUCAUAGGCUAAAAUUAAAAAUUGACUGGCAUAUUUGAUUCCUAGCAAUGUUAGUUUUGGAUUUAGAUUUAGUGGAUUCUGUGAUAAGGGAGAAAUGACACCAUUAAGGUAAUGCGCUGUAAAAACAGGUGUAGUAAAAAAGAGGAAGCAAGACUUGUCACCUUCAAAUAAAGUAAUCUUUCUGCA